UGUAUAAUGAUGAAACUCAUGCGUGUCAACUGACUCUGUAAACCCCUGGUGUGGUGUUGCUCUUGUUGGUGUUCUUCCAGCUUGAGUCCAUGGCACAGCAGGGGUCCACGGACAUGAUCAUAAAUCACUUCUGAAUACA
ensembl:snoRNA SNORD10 small nucleolar RNA, C/D box 10